AAUUUUUUUUCAUUCUCCAUUUGAUCGAAGGCCAAGUUCCCACCUUCUCAGCCGACAAACAAAUUUCUUCCCCCUACUCACCCCCCUCAAUUUUUUUUCAUCGGAAAUUCUCCUGAUUCUUCGACCAAAUUUGUAGCCGUUGCUUCCGGCAUUAUUAUCGAAGUGGAACUUGGAGUCAAUCGGGAGGAGCACGAUUGCUGUUCAUCAUUACUCAUCAAAUUCCAGAUAUUAAAGUGGUUGAAUCUGAGUUUCUGGAGUAGAGAGUGCUCAGUUGGAUUGGUCAGAGAAGAGAUGAAAGUAGCUAGAAAGAAUGCAAGCUAGCUCUGCCCCCGGUACAAGUGAUUUGGCAUUAGUCGCGACAGCGGCGAGAGUGGGUCAAAGACUCCGACUUUCUGAACUUCAUUAUUGGCUUGGAUUUGAUCUGAGCCGAUGGCAGCUGGCUGUCUUGAACUCUUUAUUAGUUAGUGAAUUGUGGAAGAUUUCGGCGGCAAAAGAUGCGGCGGCGGGCGGCCGAUUAUCGGCGCCCGGUGAGAAGGAAGUUUUCUAGUUGGAUCUGGGUGCUUCUUGGGACAUUUAUGAUUGCAGGCUUUGUUUUGUUUGUUUUUCAUCAUAACUAUCAGCAUGAGGAUCAUGCCGAGCAGCAGCCCUUAUUGGAGAGAAAGAUUGGAAAAGGGCAUGUUGCUCAUAACAGCUUAAAUCUUACAGAGGAAAUUUUAAGUGCUAGAUCAUAUGCCAGACAAUUAGCAGAGCAAAUGACACUUGCCAAGGCUUAUGUUAUUAUAGCAAAGGAGCAUAAUAACCUUCAUCUUGCUUGGGAGCUUAGUUCAAAAAUUAGAAGUUGCCAAUUUUUACUUUCAAAGGCUGCCAUGCAGGACGAACCUAUUUCAUUAGAUGAAGCGGAACCAAUAAUUAAAAGCUUAUCAUCUUUGAUUUUCAAGGCUCAGGAUGCCCAUUAUGAUAUUGCAACCACAAUGAUGACAAUGAAGUCUCACAUUCAGGCGCUUGAAGAGCGAGCAAAUGCGGCAUCUGCUCAGAGUACAGUGUUUGGUCAACUUGCUGCGGAAUCGCUGCCAAAGAGCUUACACUGUCUGGACAUCAAACUCAUGCUGGAUUGGCUUAAGGACAAGUCGUUACAGGAGCUUGCAGAUGAGAAGAGGAAUUCUCCCCGACUAGUGGACAACAAUCUGUACCACUUUUGCAUAUUCUCGGAUAACCUACUUGCAGUAAUGGUCGUUGUCAACUCUACUAUCUGUAAUGCUGAUCACCCAACACAGCUGGUUUUCCACAUCGUAACAAAUGGUAUACAUUAUGGGGUAAUGCAAGCUUGGUUCCUAAGCAAUGAGUUCAAAGGUGCUACAAUAGAAGUGCAAACUAUCGAAGACUUCACUUGGUUUAAUGCAUCAUAUUCUCCCGUCAUAAAGAACCUACUAGAAAAAGAUUCUCGAAAGUACUACUUUGAAGGGUCUGAGGAUAGCAAUAUUGAGCCAAAGUUUCGAAAUCCAAAGUAUGUAUCACUGUUGAAUCACCUUCGGUUUUACAUCCCAGAGAUUUAUCCGCAGUUGGAGAAGGUAGUUUUUCUCGACGAUGAUGUAGUAGUUCAGAAAGAUUUGACUCCUCUGUUUUCUUUGGAUUUACAUGGAAAUGUAAAUGGAGCAGUUGAAACUUGUCUUGAAGCCUUUCACCGUUAUUACAAAUAUCUCAAUUUUUCAAACCCUCUUAUCAGUUCCAAGUUUGAUCCCCAGGCCUGUGGAUGGGCAUUUGGUAUGAAUGUCUUUGAUUUGAUUGCCUGGAGAAAAGCAAAUGUUACAGCAAGAUAUCAUUACUGGCAGGAUCAAAAUACCGAUAGGACUCUAUGGAAGCUUGGCACUCUUCCUCCUGGCCUCCUAUCUUUCUAUGGAUUAACAGAGCCACUUGAUAGAAGAUGGCAUGUGUUAGGAUUGGGAUAUGACCUGAAUAUUGAUAACAGGCUGAUAGAGAGUGCAGCUGUAAUUCAUUUCAAUGGCAACAUGAAGCCAUGGCUAAAGUUGGGUAUUAGCAAGUAUAGGUCUCUAUGGGAUCGGUAUUUGGAUCAAUCUCAUGCUUAUCUUCAGGAUUGUGCCUCAAGUUGAAAUUUACUACCUAUACAUUACAGCAAUUGAAGCUCUCGAUAUAGGCUCAGGAUUCCUAUUAGGAUAUUGUCGAUCUUCCAAUCAAGCUGCACUUUUCAUUUUUUGGUUGUUUUUGAGGCUGUUCUAUGUCUCUGCUGGCUGCUGCAACAGAAUCCUUGGCUACCCUCUUGCUGCCAGACUAUAGUUGGCAGCCUGACCUGGAACAGACUUUCUUGAAACAUUGAAACAAAGGAUAUUUGAUUUCAAGGCCAAAAACUUCAUACCCUUGUUUACGAUUUACCUCCAACAAAGUUGUAAACUUACUUAUCUUUGCUAUCUGGUAUGACAUAAAAUUGAACUUGAUCCACCUAAAUCACUUGGAUAAGUGUAGGAUACCAGUUUAAGAGACUUAUGUUAAACAAUCCUGCGUUGCCUUCAUCAGAACUGACUAAUUUUAUACUAGGUGCCUGCUUGCUUGGAAAGUCAACAUAAGAAAUUAUACAGCUGAGACAGCUGCCUUUGACCAUCCAGACUUGCCUUCAAUGGGCUUAUUAAGCUUUCGUUCUGAUUCUAUUUUGUCUAUCUAGUUCUAGAUACUAAUGACUUGUCCAGAUGAAUAUCUUAAAAGAA